rnacentral:sRNA from 1 species
UUUUUUCUUUCUUCUC